rnacentral:rRNA from 1 species
GAUGAACGCUGGCGGCGUGCCUAAUACAUGCAAGUCGAGCGAACAGACGAGGAGCUUGCUCCUCUGACGUUAGCGGCGGACGGGUGAGUAACACGUGGAUAACCUACCUAUAAGACUGGGAUAACUUCGGGAAACCGGAGCUAAUACCGGAUAAUAUAUUGAACCGCAUGGUUCAAUAGUGAAAGACGGUUUUGCUGUCACUUAUAGAUGGAUCCGCGCCGCAUUAGCUAGUUGGUAAGGUAACGGCUUACCAAGGCGACGAUGCGUAGCCGACCUGAGAGGGUGAUCGGCCACACUGGAACUGAGACACGGUCCAGACUCCUACGGGAGGCAGCAGUAGGGAAUCUUCCGCAAUGGGCGAAAGCCUGACGGAGCAACGCCGCGUGAGUGAGGAAGGUCUUCGGAUCGUAAAACUCUGUUAUUAGGGAAGAACAAAUGUGUAAGUAACUAUGCACGUCUUGACGGUACCUAAUCAGAAAGCCACGGCUAACUACGUG